GAGCUCUGGUUUCUCUUCAGAACGAACAAAUCUUUCGCCUUUUACUAAAGAUCUCCGUGGAGAGGAGCCAAACCGAGUUUUACAAAUCCUUGGAGUGACGCCCACCAAUCUGGGCU